UGGGGAAUAUUGCACAAUGGGCGCAAGCCUGAUGCAGCCAUGCCGCGUGUAUGAAGAAGGCCGUCGGGUUGUAAAGUACUUUCAGCGGGGAGGAAGGUGUUGAGGCUAAUAACCUCAGCAAUUGACGUUACCCGCAGAAGAAGCACCGGCUAACUCCGUGCCAGCAGCCGCGGUAAUACGGAGGGUGCAAGCGUUAAUCGGAAUUACUGGGCGUAAAGCGCACGCAGGCGGUCUGUCAAGUCGGAUGUGAAAUCCCCGGGCUCAACCUGGGAACUGCAUUCGAAACUGGCAGGCUAGAGUCUUGUAGAGGGGGGUAGAAUUCCAGGUGUAGCGGUGAAAUGCGUAGAGAUCUGGAGGAAUACCGGUGGCGAAGGCGGCCCCCUGGACAAAGACUGACGCUCAGGUGCGAAAGCGUGGGGAGCAAACA
rnacentral:rRNA from 1 species